rnacentral:rRNA from 1 species
AUGGCCAGCCACAGCUCCAAGAAUACGCGGAAUAGGUGGCCCUGGUCGGCGUCGGCGCCGUCCGGCGCGGGCCACGGGCCCGCUUCCAAGUGCGUCUACGCGUCGGCCACCCAUGCCGGGUCCUUCAAGUGCCGCUUCCACCACACCAACUCCCAGGGCCACAGCCACGGCCAGGGCCAGGGAAGCCGCCCUUCUUCGCCCCCUUCACCGGUCGCAGCCAACGCGGUGCCACGGCACCCGGCCUCGCCGUCCUCGUCCUCCGGCACCGUCGUGACCCAGUGA